rnacentral:lncRNA from 1 species
UCUUUGCGAACAGUAACAUGCUGUCGGAGAAAGUUUGUGUGUUGUGUUUUUAGGUGUGUUUCCUGUAGACACGGCACUUUUGGAUUGUGUUUGUGUAUAAUCUCUUGCACAUCAUCAAGAUUCCUGAGAAGACCUCUGACAUUCCAUUGGAUGAUUUGUGUAUCCAUACUUAAAGAAAAAUUUGUGCUGUGUUUACGGAAAUGGAGGUGAUGCCUUAGGUUACAGAGCUCUUUCGAGGCCCUGUGACGGGAGUUCUGCCCUUUCUGGAGCGUUCGAGGGAGCCUCGCCGCUCCUUAGGCGUUUGUUGCGCCUUGAGGACAUGUGUAGUGUCCAUUGCCUCUUGUGAGGCGCCGGACACAUGCUCUUGUGAGCGAGAAGUUACCAGGGAAGGUCCCGCCUUGGAGGGCAAGACCCCUGCGCCCACCAGCCCGGAGGUCGAUGGGGCUCCCUGGGGGAUUUCGCUGCGCCGGCCGUUGCCAGCGCUGGAAGGGACCUGGGAAGUUGAGGCAGCCUCGGCUACGGCCGCCUUCGGGGUCGAUGGUCCCUUCUCCUCGGUUGACGGAGCAGCGCUAGCUGCAACCGCCGCGGGGGCAGAUGGCGUAACUGCCGACUCACUGUUUGUGGGUCGGACAGCCGCCGGAGGCCGUUGUGACGCUGCCCCCUGACGCGCCACAUCGGCAAA